CCUACGGGUGGCAGCAGUGGGGAAUAUUGGGCAAUGGAGGCAACUCUGACCCAGCAACGCCGCGUGAAUGAUGAAGGUCUUCGGAUUGUAAAGCUCUGUGAUGGGGGAUGAACACAAUGACGGUACUCCAAUAGCAAGCCACGGCUAAUUACGCGCCAGCAGCCGCGGUAAUACGAAGGUGGCAAGCGUUAUUCGGAAUGACUGGGCGUAAAGGGUGCGUAGGUGGUUUAGUAAGUAGGCGGUGUAAUUCCGGGGCUCAACCUCGGCACUACCGCCAAAACUAUUAGACUAGAGUACAGGAGGGGUAAGUGGAAUUCCUGGUGUAGCGGUGAAAUGCGUAGAUAUUAGGAGGAACAUCAGGGGCGAAGGCGACUUACUGGACUGUAACUGACACUGAGGCACGAAGGCGUGGGGAGCAAACAGGAUUAGAUACCCCAGUAGUC
rnacentral:rRNA from 1 species